rnacentral:lncRNA from 1 species
GUUCACAAGUUUUUAAACAGAAACCGGGAUGGCCUUGACCCUGCCGUGGUGGAAAUGCUCGCCCAGAGCCGGCUCCAGCUGGUGGGCAGCCUGUUCCAGGAAGCAGAGCCUGAGUCCAGGGGAGGUCGAGGCAAACCCACACUGGCCUCUCGCUUCCAGCGUUCCCUGGGGGACCUCAUAGCCCAGCUUGGCAGGUGAGAAUAGUGCCCCCCCGACCCCUGACCCCAGGGAGAUUGAGUGGGGGGCCAGUCUGUGCUCAGUGACCUUCCUCCACCCCCCAGGAGCCAUGUCUAUGCCAUCCAGUGUCUCAGCCCCAACCCGGGGAAGCUUCCGGGCCUCUUUGAUGUGGGGCACGUGGCAGAGCAGCUGCGCCAGGCGGGCAUCCUGGAGGCUGUGUGUACCCGCAGCGCCAAUUUCCCCAUCCGUGUGCCCUUCCGGCUCUUCCUGGCCAGGUUCUGCUGCGAGAGCCAGGCUGGCAGCAGCUGGAGCAGCACCGGGCCGAGCAGCGCACCCAGGCCCUGCUCACCCUGCACCGAGGCCUCCGUGUCUGCAUCUCCUGCCAGCGCCUCCGUCUCUUGCCACGGAUGCAGGCUCGCGUGCGUGGGCUCCAAACCAGGUCUGCAGGGUGGGGUGAGGCUGUAAGCCUCCUCCAA